rnacentral:rRNA from 1 species
UACGUAGGUGACCAGCGUUGUCCGGAUUUACUGGGCGUAAAGAGCGCGCAGGCGGUCGUUCAAGUCGAGUGUGAAAGCCCCCGGCUCAACUGGGGAGGGUCACGCGAUACUGAUCGACUCGAAGGCAGGAGAGGGUAGUGGAAUUCCCGGUGUAGUGGUGAAAUGCGUAGAUAUCGGGAGGAACACCAGUGGCGAAGGCGACUACCUGGCCUGUUCUUGACGCUGAGGCGCGAAAGCUAGGGGAGCAACGGG